GGUGCCAUAGCUCAGUUGGUAGAGCAAAGGACUGAAAGUCCUUGUGUCCCCGGUUCGAUUCCUGGUGGCACCA
rnacentral:tRNA from 1 species